rnacentral:rRNA from 1 species
UGGGGAAUAUUGGGCAAUGGGCGCAAGCCUGACCCAGCAACGCCGCGUGAAGGAAGAAGGCUUUCGGGUUGUAAACUUCUUUUCUCAGGGACGAAGCAAGUGACGGUACCUGAGGAAUAAGCCACGGCUAACUACGUGCCAGCAGCCGCGGUAAUACGUAGGUGGCAAGCGUUAUCCGGAUUUACUGGGUGUAAAGGGCGUGUAGGCGGGGGCAGCAAGUCAGAUGUGAAAACCACGGGCUCAACCUGUGGCCUGCAUUUGAAACUGUUUUCUUGAGUACUGGAGAGGCAGACGGAAUUCCUAGUGUAGCGGUGAAAUGCGUAGAUAUUAGGAGGAACACCAGUGGCGAAGGCGGCUUACUGGACAGUCACUGACGUUGAGGCUCGAAAGCGUGGGGAGCAAACAGGAUUAGAUACCC